rnacentral:rRNA from 1 species
AUUGAACGCUGGCGGCAUGCUUUACUCAUGCAAGUCGAACGGCAGCGCGGGCUUCGGCCUGGCGGCGAGUGGCGAACGGGUGAGUAAUACAUCGGAACGUGCCCAGUAGUGGGGGAUAGCUCGGCGAAAGCCGGAUUAAUACCGCAUACGACCUGAGGGUGAAAGCGGGGGAUCUUCGGACCUCGCGCUAUUGGAGCGGCCGAUGGCAGAUUAGCUAGUUGGUGGGGUAAAGGCCUACCAAGGCGACGAUCUGUAGCUGGUCUGAGAGGACGACCAGCCACACUGGGACUGAGACACGGCCCAGACUCCUACGGGAGGCAGCAGUGGGGAAUUUUGGACAAUGGGCGAAAGCCUGAUCCAGCAAUGCCGCGUGUGUGAUGAAGGCCUUCGGGUUGUAAAGCACUUUUGGCGGGAACGAAAAGGACUGUGCCAAUACCACGGUUCGAUGACGGUACCCGCAGAAUAAGCACCGGCUAACUACGUG